AACGAACGCUGGCGGCAGGCCUAACACAUGCAAGUCGAACGAAGUCUUCGGACUUAGUGGCGCACGGGUGAGUAACACGUGGGAAUAUACCUUUCGGUGGGGAAUAACAGCGGGAAACUGCUGCUAAUACCGCAUACGCCCUUCGGGGGAAAGAUUUAUCGCCGAGAGAUUAGCCCGCGUCCGAUUAGCUAGUUGGUAAGGUAAUGGCUUACCAAGGCUACGAUCGGUAGCUGGUCUGAGAGGAUGAUCAGCCACACUGGGACUGAGACACGGCCCAGACUCCUACGGGAGGCAGCAGUGGGGAAUAUUGGACAAUGGGCGCAAGCCUGAUCCAGCCAUGCCGCGUGAGUGAUGAAGGCCUUAGGGUUGUAAAGCUCUUUCGACGGGGACGAUGAUGACGGUACCCGUAGAAGAAGCCCCGGCUAACUUCGUGCCAGCCGCCGCAGUAACAC
rnacentral:rRNA from 1 species